UUAAUUUUCCUUUUUUUUCUUUGUUUCCUUUUCCCUCCUCAGUUCUCCAUCUUACCGUCUGUUUUGCCUGCACUAUCCCCUCUUCCCUUGCACGUUCUUCUCCGCUUCACAACAUACUCCUCUGCGGUGGCCCACUCCCACACUCGCUCACGCUAACAUUUAACAGGGUAAUUAAUAAAUGCAGCUCAGGCUAACCCGGAAGGAUCCGCUCUAUUUUUAAUGGCCCUGUCACUGCGUGGGCAAACGACGCGAAAGUGUGGAGAUGAAGGCAACGAAAGAAUCCAGCGGGCAACAGGUAGCGUCGCUCAUCAGACGACAAGGGGAGCUUCAUCAGAGACAGAGAGGGCUCCAUUCACACAGUCCUCCGUAUUAGAAAAAGGACUAUCAAGAGCAAGGCAACUGAAUCCAUGUAAGCCUCCCUCCAGAAGACAGCAUCACCUUUAUAGCAGCAGAAAGCAACCUGUGGGCUGAUUCCAAAUCAACCCCAGGUCCCCGCAUCAGAGACGGUACAGGGCCAUUCUGAACUCCAGUCUCAGGCUCGCCGGUACAGCGCGCUGGUCUCCAUGGACACGGUACACCCGCCCGGCGCGGUGGGCUUUCGUGAGUGACUGUGCACGCAGAGCCGAGUUAUAUUGGCUUCCUUGUCUUUCUCUGGCACAACUCCUGAUGUUGACAAAUGCCAAAUAACAGACUCCAAAGGCAAUCAAAAGCUGAGAAUCAAGACUACAUACUGAAAGCUCUCAUGCCUGCACCAAAGAAGCAAAAUAACACACUUGACCGAUCAGAAACACCUGUGAAGCCAUUUGCCCCAAAUGUUAUAGUGGCCUGAAACUGGGGGGCUAUGUAUAAAAAGUGCUGUAAUUUCUACGUAGCGUAACAAAAAAUGUAUAAAAAUACUCGUUCAUAAAAGCUAAGAAUCUGCACUUUA